rnacentral:lncRNA from 1 species
GAUUAAAUAUAUCAUUUUUUUUCUUUGAAAUAUCCUCUCUCCUUUUUCCAUUGUUUUCUUUCUUUUUUUAGGGGAACUAUAAUAGCUGAUCUUUUUCACUUAGCUUUUUUUUUUUUUUUUUUUUGUGAGAUCAUUUUUUCGCUUAGCUUUGAUUGAGGGUCUUCUUUACUUUUUGCCGACAUUCUUUUCAUCGACCUGACAGUCCGAGACACAUUCAAAACAUUAGAAUAUCACGAGCUUAAAAAGCUGAAUAAAUACGUGGUUAAUUAACUAAUAUUAGGAACAAAUUUGGAAGAUAUACUACUAUAUGUUUAAGAUCACAUGGAGAUAGGUUGUUCCAGCAAGAAUUCAGAUUCUAUUGCUUUAAUAUAAGCUGAUUUAUGGAGUGUUGAUCCCAAUAUGUCUUAUUAUUAGGCACAACGGGUCGGAAUCAUGCAAGGAAUAUGUGCUUAGAAUAGAUCUAAAGUUCACUACGUACAAAAUUUUCUGCCAUAUAUUUUCUUAUUUUUAGGAGACAUAUUACAUAUAUAUACAUAAAUAAAGAUCUAAAUAAAUAUCUCUUACUUCAUUGUCAGGGUGAAUUUCUUGUCAUUAUCUACUUAUGAUUACUAUAUCAUGCUAUUGUAUAGUCCUACGUGGAAAAGAGAACAAACUUACGGGACAAAUUUAUGGAGUUAAAAUAGUCUUCGUACUGGAAAAAUAAAAAAGUUGUUAAAGAUAUUAAAAUAGUCACCUUUGAUUCAGAGCAACGUUUUGUCCUUAAUUGAAGAAUUUAAAAUUAAAUUCGUGAGUUUAGAAGUCGAUGAUUAUAAAAUAAAGUUAGUUUUAUGACAAAUAUUCACGAUCAAUAUGGGUUCUGGAUUGUUCUUUAAAUUGGGCAAUUCACGAUAAAAGCCAAUUAUUAUUGUGAAUUGUCGUGUUUAAGGAAUAAUUUACGAUUUAAAAGUUGAAUAUGGUUCAUAAUUUCUAUUUUAAAAUAUCAAUUAUAAUAAAAUAUUUCAGUAUUGACAUGAUUUUUGAUAAGUAGCGAUACUAAUAAAUAUAUCUAGCUACAUAAAAUUGUAAUAUAUAUAUAUAUAUAUAUAUAUAUAUAAUUACAGUUGGAUGGCUAUCAUGCGUGUCACAAAAAUAAAAAUAUGUAACCAAAUUUAGUGAUAUUUAAAGGUGUAACUAAUUUUUCGAUAUAUAAAAAUAUAGUUAUUUUUGUGGCGUGAUAAUUACUAAACUUUUGAUUUUAUCUGAUUUUGCUACUAAUCCAAUUCCGGCCUGACGUAGUGUAUUUAUUCUUGCAUGGCAAUUAGUUGACAAAAUAAUAUUUUUAUUUAAUUUCUUAUCAAUAAAAAAAGAAUACAAAGCAAAUAACCCAAAUUGUUUGAAUAAAUUCAACAAUAGUAAGAAAAUUCUUCGAAUUUAGGUGUGACAAUCAAAGAACAUUUUAAUUAUCAAUAACUUAAUAUAUCAAAUCAAAUUAGAAAAAGAAAAAAAACACAAAGCAAAUAACCCAAAUUUGCUUUAUUCGAAAUUUGGAAAAAUGAUAUUAGAUGUUAAUUUGUGAAAAAAUAAUGAUAAGUGACUAACCAGAAUAAUUUAAUAAAAUUUGUAUACAAAAUCAGAAAUUGAUAAAAGUUCAAUAUUUUAUAGGCAACUAAUUGCCACGCAAGAAUAAAUACGUUACGUCAAAUAUUGACACACCAUGUCAGCCCAGAAUUUGGAUUAAUAACAAAAACAGAUAAAAUCAAAAGUUUAAUAAUCACGCCACAGUUUAAAGUUUGUAUGCAAAACUAGAAUUGGAUGAAAAUUUAUUAUUUUAUGGGCAAUUAACCCUAAUAUUUACGUGUGUGUAUUAUAAUAAUAAUAAUAAUAAUAAUGUGAGUGAGUGAGUGACACAUUGAGAGAGAGAGAGAGAGAGAGAGAGAGAGAGAGAGAUAAAGAGAAUAUUGUGAUCUAUGUGUAAUAAAAAUAUUUUGUGAUAGUUUUAGAUAUGUCAUAAAAUCUGUUAUAGGGAUAGAUGUCACAAAACUUGUUAAGUACAUUUUUAAAUACAUACAUAUUCUGUCAUUUUUACGGAUAGAUGUCCGUAAAAAUCUGUCAUUUUCUCUUUUAAGACAUGAUUACACACAUUUUCCUUAUGAAUACAAAUUGUUUUUAAUAUGAAUGAAAUGAUGUCGUCCCAUUUUCUUAUGAUUAUUCAAAAUGUUAAAACAUUUUUAAAUUUUCACAUGUACUUUUUUUAUUUUUUUGAAUUAGAAUUAUAAGAUGAUCUUUGGAAUUAAAUAUAAUUAAAUAAGCAAUUCGUAUGCAUACAGGAUCUCUAUAUCAUACAAAGAUGAAAAAAAAUAAUUGUACACAAAUAAAAUCAUUACUUACAUAAAAUUGAAAAAAUUACGCCACUCGCAAAUAGGAUUGAAGCGAAUGAAGCAUACGUAUUUUUCGCAGCAUCUCUCUUCCCACAGCUGAAAAUAAAAAUUGAAGCGUUCAAUAAUGGCUUGUCGUCAAAAUUUUAACGGGGUCAAACAUGAAUAAAAGAUUGAAAGUUGAGAUAUUGAUGAGACGUAUGAGACAUUUCAGACUAGAGAAAUAUUUUUUAAUUUUCUUUCUAUACAUAUUAAAGGAGAAAUUCAUAAUUGUAACCUACCUAUGAAUGCGCUUAUCUUAGGCUUAAUUAGAAAUUUAGAAUCUUUUAUAUUCCUCAAAGAAAAAAAAGAGAAUAUUUUAUAUUACUAACUAAUUGUGAAAGACUCUCAUUUAUAAGAGGUUUUGAAUUCAAUGACGUAUAUAUACAGUGUAGUUUUCAUUCAUGUAUAAUGUAAUAGUUCCAUCUAUGGUUAUAAACAAAUCAAGCUGCUCGCGAAUUAUUCGGAGCUCGGCUCCAAAAAAGUUCGUUCAAAUUCGUUUAGAAAAGUUUGAUAGAUAAACAAACCAUUUUUUUUCAAAAAACCAACACCCAAAGGGUGAGGGGUUAGACAGACCCCCAACCUAUAUAUAAAACAUCAACCAGUGUCUCAUACAAAACGUUUUCUAAAAGUGACAACGCCCAACAGAAGUAAUAAGGAGAAACAAAAAUUGACCGAACAAAAACAUACAGAAACGUAACCCAAAAAUGGUUACAUCCACAAGAUAAAAGAAACGAAAUCAAAAAGGAAACAAGCCAAAACAAACUAACUAUCAACAUGGAAACUGAAUCUAAAAUUAGGAUAGCCAAGCGGAUCCAUCCUAACUAGAGCAAGAAACUACCGAGGAGCAGAAGAACAGUCAAAAGUAGUCAACGUCUGAACCUGAUGCCCUCUUUUCGCCAUAAAAUCAGCAGGUCAAUUUCCCUCACGGGGGAUGUGAAUGAAACGGAUUCGCCGAAGCUGAGUAAGCAGUCGGAUCCAAGCAGCAGUAUGCCGAAUACUAGCAUGACCGUGACGCCCAACAUACAUGAGCAAAACUUGAGCUUAGUAAUAUUCGGCUCGUUAGCUCGUGAACA